UAAAAGUAAUACAGCAGUGAAGGAAAACUAGGCGAAAGGAGAAGAAAAACGAUUUUACCACUCAGAAAUAACUCCUUUUAAUGCUGUGUUCUUUCAGUGCAGGGGUCCUCAAACUUUUUAAAUAGGGGGUCAGUUCACUGUCCCUUAGACCAUUGGAGGGCCGGACUAUAGUUUUAAAAAAACCUAUGAACAAAUUCCUAUGUACACUGCACAUAUCUUCAAAAAAAACAAAAUGGGAACAAAUACAAUAUUUGUAUUUGCAUGUGGCCCGCGGGCCGUAGUUUGAGGACCCCUGUUUCAGUGCCUCCCCCCUUUUUUGUAUAUAAACCCCCACUUAUUUACACUUACAUACACAUAUUAUGUAUAUGCACAUAUAAAAUAUGUUUUUGUUUUUUUAAGUAGAAAUGGGGUCAUAUUUGCUUUUUAUUUUGAUGUGUAAAGGCUGACAAUCAUAUGAGGCGGCAGGUUAUCAUAUUUGUUUUCCAGAUGAGGACACUGAGGUACAAGGGAACAAACCAGCACUCCCAUGUCACCCUGCUGGUGGCAGCUGCUGGGACUGGACGCCAGGCCUCCUGGUUUCUGGUCACUACAGCCAGCCUGAGGCGGGGACACUGUGUUCUGCCUUUCAGGGGUUGGGGUUCUCAGCAGACAGCUGUAUGCCACAGGUGGGCACGAUGGGCCCUUGGUGAGGAAGAGCGUUGAGGUUUAUGAUCCUGGAACAAACACCUGGAAGCAGGUGGCAGACAUGAACAUGUGCCGACGCAAUGCAGGGGUCUGUGAAGUGAAUGGGCUCCUGUAUGUGGUUGGAGGGGAUGAUGGAUCCUGCAACCUGGCUUCGGUGGAGUACUACAAUCCUGCCACUGACAAAUGGACGCUGCUGCCAACCAACAUGAGCACGGGGCGGAGCUAUGCAAGUAUUGCUAUGAUUCAGAAGCCCUUGUGACCCCCACCUCCCACUUCCAGGACGUGGGGUGAGGGAGGGGUGCUGCCUGGGACUCAAAAGAGAGGGGUCAUGAUGGCUGGAUCCCACUUGGCUGGAUCCCACUCGCUGGGAGAGUCUGCAGUGGAGUGAGAACCGCCCUCCUCUGACUUGGCAGAGUGGAGUCUGGAGUGAAGACUGGGCCCCACCUCAUGCACCUCUGCGGGUGUUUGGCCUCUACCCCGAGCAGUGGGUUCUGGUAGCUUUGGGCUACAGGGAGAACGUGUGUCUGAGAAUGUGGAUGUAUGUGUGUGUGUGUCAGAGAGAGUGUUGUGUAUAUGUGUGUCUAGAACAUGAUAUCUCACUAAGUUUGGGGUGGGGUGUGACAGUCUACUGGAUUUCUGAACUACUGAUCCUUCCGCUGUGCUAAAAAUCAAAUCACAGACACUCUCUUCGUGUGGGCACCUGAGACUACUGCCACCUCUGUCUCCUGGAGGGCAGGGAUGCCAAGAAAUGACUGGCAGGAGAGGCAGUGCUCUGGCCAUGCCCACAUGCUGGCCUUGACUCUGGCACUGUCGGCAGAAGAGAUGAGCAUUCUCGAAGCUGCUCUGUGACCUCCCUGUGCUAGAACUAGGAGCAAGCGGGUGCCCUGCCCCUCAGCUGGCUCUUCCUUGGUCUCUCCUACAGGAAGCACACAAGAGCUGCUCAGUCUUUGGACCACUGGUUUUUGAUGUCAUGAAUUCCAGGUUUGGGAAGUUUGUGUCUCUUCAGCUAGCUCUUCAGAAAAGCCCCAAGUAACACACUAGGAAAAAAUAUACGAAAAACAAAAACCAAAGUGGGAAGGCUUCAGUCCCUGCCCACAAAGGUCUCAGAGAGAAUCCUACUUCUGGAUUUUUCCAGGAUAUGCAAGUCCCCAUUAUAUUUAUUAUCCAGAAGUAAUUAUUCCCAACAUCCUUUUUACCAUCGAAAGUGUUCUGAUAUGGAGGAUAAGUCACCCUACCUCCAACCCACAGCCUGGUUUGUCCUGCACCGGAUGGGGUCGCAUGUGCUUCAGACGGUCAUGGAUGGAAGGAGUGUACCAGCUGGGCUGCUCGUUGGCACUUCGUGAUGGUGGUCAAGUCUGUCUCAGGUCCUUGUCUUCCUUUCCUUGUGCUCUGCACCCUCUCUCCAGCCCUCAGAACACUCCCCUCCUCCUUGCUUCCCCUGUGGGGAAGGAGAUGGUAGGCUCCGGAUGUGUGAUCUCUCUCAGGGGGACCUACAUUUUAAGAGAGGAGCUAAAGAGAAUUUUGCUAGUCCACAGGUAAAAGUUAUUAAAGACAGAACUUCAAGAAUCUGCAGGGAGGUAUUUGAGGGGGCACAUAGUCAUUUGCAUGAAAAAUAACCUUAAAGCUGUGCUGCUCCUAAAUUAGCAAGUUGCUUAUGUUGGGAUUUCUGGCAUAAGGACGGGAGGUCUUGUGUCUGGGGUUUAACCUUCCAUGAUGUUAGGGUCCGCCCAGAGGGAGCCGAGGGGCUUAUGAGCCUGAUACUGGACUUUUGAUACAUCUGGGCUCCUUCCAAGCAGAUGUUGUAGGAGACCAGCAUUCCCUCCACCUCAUGCUCACAAUUGGAAACGCAGGAUCUUCCCCGCUAUUUGGCCACUUUGUGUAUUUACAGGAUAUUGUGCACUAAACACUGAACUCUCUUGAAGAUGAAACUUCUGAUGUUGAGCAGAUGUCAUUUCAAUGAGACAUUUGGAGAGGACCAAGGCGCCCAGAAUUUCUUGGGAAGAGGCCAGAAAUACCAGAUUUGGUGGGGCCGGGAGAAAUGCCUCCAGGGGAGUUGGGGCGCACUUUGAGUUGGUGCUCGGCUCUCACUGGCACGGAGGCACGGAGACAUGGAGACACGGAGACAUGGAGACAUGGAGACGGCUAGUUCUAGAGCUCUGCCUGGCUCUGGGUUGGAAGCUGAUGGAAUGAGCUUUUUGUUCCAAAUGUUCUUCCUCCCUCUCUGAGGAAAGUUUGGGACUUAGUUGUGUGUGUGUGUGUGUGUGUGUGUGUGUGUGUGUGGUGGGGAUGAGGGUGAGGUUGGGUCUGAUGUGUGCUGUUCCCACAGCUGGUUUGAGAUCCCAACCCCUCCCCUACACGUAGCAGCUGGACUUCCAUUCUGUGUGGGAGAGGCUGCUGUUUGUGUGUCAUCUUCCCAGAGGGGCUCUUCCCUGAAAGCUAGCCAUGUUUCCUGCUUUUGGGCUUUUGCUAUUGAUUCCCCCUCCCUC